UACGCAGGGGGCUAGCGUUGCUCGGAAUCACUGGGCGUAAAGCGCACGUAGGCGGCUUCUUAAGUCAGGGGUGAAAUCCUGGAGCUCAACUCCAGAACUGCCUCUGAUACUGAGGAGCUCGAGUCCGGGAGAGGUGAGUGGAACUCCGAGUGUAGAGGUGAAAUUCGUAGAUAUUCGGAAGAACACCAGUGGCGAAGGCGGCUCACUGGCCCGGUACUGACGCUGAGGUGCGAAAGCGUGGGGAGCAAACAGG
rnacentral:rRNA from 1 species